UACGGGGGGGGCAAGCGUUGUUCGGAAUUAUUGGGCGUAAAGAGCUCGUAGGCGGUUUGUCGCGUCUGCUGUGAAAAUCCAGGGCUUAACCCUGGACCUGCAGUGGGUACGGGCAGACUAGAGUGCGGUAGGGGAGAUCGGAAUUCCUGGUGUAGCGGUGAAAUGCGCAGAUAUCAGGAGGAACACCGGUGGCGAAGGCGGAUCUCUGGGCCGUAACUGACGCUGAGGCGCGAAAGCUAGGGGAGCAAACAGG
rnacentral:rRNA from 1 species